GACGAACGCUGGCGGCGUGCUUAACACAUGCAAGUCGAACGGAAAGGCCCUGCUUUUGUGGGGUGCUCGAGUGGCGAACGGGUGAGUAACACGUGAGUAACCUGCCCUUGACUUUGGGAUAACUUCAGGAAACUGGGGCUAAUACCGGAUAGGAGCUCCUGCUGCAUGGUGGGGGUUGGAGAGUUUCGGCGGUUGGGGAUGGACUCGCGGCUUAUCAGCUUGUUGGUGGGGUAGUGGCUUACCAAGGCUUUGACGGGUAGUCGGCCUGAGAGGGUGACCGGCCACAUUGGGACUGAGAUACGGCACAGACUCCUACGGGAGGCAGCAGUGGGGAAUAGUGCACAAUGGGCGGAAGCCUGAUGCAGCAACGCCGCGUGCGGGAUGACGGCCUUCGGGUUGUAAACCGCUUUCGCCUGUGACGAAGCGUGAGUGACGGUAAUGGGUAAAGAAGCACCGGCUAACUACGUG
rnacentral:rRNA from 1 species